rnacentral:snRNA from 1 species
GUGCUUACUUCAGCAGCACAAAUACUAAAACUGGAAUGACAGACAGAAGAGUAGCAUGGCCCCCGUGCAAGGAUGACAUGUAAAUUUAUGAAGUGUUCCAUAUUUUU